ACGGAGACGUAAUUCCUCAAAUAUAGUGGCGGAGCUAGGUCGUGCUCUAAGCGUAGUAACCAAAUUCUCGCUUCUGAAGCCGGCCCGGGUCCUGCCGUAAAACCCCCUAUAUUUUUCUGGUUGACCUCGGAUCAGGUAGGAAUACCCGCUGAACUUAAGCAUAUCAAUAAGCGGAGGAAAAGAAACCAACAGGGAUUGCCCUAGUAACGGCGAGUGAAGCGGCAACAGCUCAAAUUUGAAAUCUGGCCUUCGGGUCCGAGUUGUAAUUUGCAGAGGAUGCUUUUGGCGCGGUGCCUUCCGAGUUCCCUGGAACGGGACGCCUUAGAGGGUGAGAGCCCCGUACGGUUGGACACCAAGCCUCUGUAAAGCUCCUUCGACGAGUCGAGUAGUUUGGGAAUGCUGCUCUAAAUGGGAGGUAAAUUUCUUCUAAAGCUAAAUACCGGCCAGAGACCGAUAGCGCACAAGUAGAGUGAUCGAAAGAUGAAAAGCACUUUGAAAAGAGGGUUAAAUAGCACGUGAAAUUGUUGAAAGGGAAGCGUUUACGGCCAGACCUUUUCCUGGCGGAUCAUCUGGUGUUCUCACCAGUGCACUUCGCCAGGUUUAGGCCAGCAUCGGCUUCUGUAGGGGGAUAAAAGCAGUGGGAAAGUAGCUCCCUCGGGAGUGUUAUAGCCCUAAGCAUAAUACC
rnacentral:rRNA from 1 species